CAUCAGACUGGGGUGAAAGUGUAGGACCACUGCACUCACUGACUCACAGCAGUGAUCUCCUGGCAAGAUAGACACAGUCAGCACUCCAGCAUGGAGUGGGAAGGGGAUUCAUGAAAUUCCACCUACUGUUGAGGAGCAGCAGCCUGACAAAGAAGCCCUUUAGCUCACUCAUCAUGAGGUUAGAGGGGAGGAGCAGAACACCAAGAAUCAAACCAUGGAGCCUGAACCACGCCUGGACCUGAUUUAGGUAAUGAGUCAUUGGACUUCAAGCUGAUGCUAUAAUAGAGGCCUGAGAGGAAGGAAGAAAUGAAUACCGUAUGGCUUCCAAGGCUGUUGUGAGACACAAUGCAGCUUUGUCUUGGAGUUCUGAGCUUAUGGCUGCCGCCUGAGAAAUCUGAUUACUCUGUGGUUACCAUGUGUUGUGGAAGCCAAUCACUGUGGGGAGCCACAAGUAGUUUGUUUUAACAGCAUGGGAAGUCUCAUUCAUACUUCUUCACCCUACUCCACUUUUUGGUUGCUGCAUCAAAAUUCCCGAGACUGGAUAAUUUAUAAGGAAAAGUCUACUUCAUUGUUCUGGAAACAAGAAUGGUGCAGCGAUAAAGGAAGGAUAAGUCUGUAAACCUUUUGCUGUGUUGGAAAUAAGAAGCAUGCAGAAAACUGAAACAGUUCAAUAAGAAGGUGAAAACUCAGAACUUACAAUAGACUUUUCGUGUGCCCUUGAAAUGAUAUUAUAAUGAAAACUUGUAAAGGAUUCAAGAUCCCUUUAAUCAACUCCCUCCUUGUUCCUCUGUGUUCUAGAGUUGCUUGACUAUAGUUGUCUAAAUCUACACACAUCACUCUGCACAGAGCAGAAAUUUGAAAAGGAAUUUGUAGUCUGUCAUGGCUGACUAUAUGUUUUCUGUGUCCAUUUAUGAACCCACACCUUUCAGAGACCAAUAGGUUAGUGGAAACCCAUCUAGUUCUUGUUAAUUUUGAUGAAUGUCAUCUAGAAUAUUCAAGAGAUAUUUGGUCUGGGAUUCAGAGACCUAAGACUUUUACAGAAGUAUAAAUUGUGAUGUUGCCCUGAAAGAGAGCAGAGAAUGGAACACAAAUAGAACACAGGAGAAUCCAUGUUUUAAAGGAAUCAUAAGAGAACAAAAAAAUGGUGACUGAUCAAACACCAAGAGUGCAUUUGUCAUAACAUGUAGGCACAAAAGACCAAUGAAAUAAGUCCUUCAGAGUUUACAACUUUCUCACAGUUUUAAUAUUACUAAAUAUUGGUCAGGUGGAUAGUGAAGGUAGAAGCCAUUUUGACAUGUCCAAGGUGCAACUGUUGCUGAAAAAGUCAUCCUACAAAAAUUGCUAAGAAUAUGUGUUUUGGAAGGAGAAGAAGGAACCAUUGAGGUGGCUAAUUUUCUGUUGAUGACACAAGCUAAAGUCAUUUGAGAAGAGGGAAUCACAACUGAGAAAUGUUACCAUCAGAUUGGCCAAUAGAUUUUCAGAGUCUGAAGAACAUACAGUCCAUUCAGCCCUCUCCACUGUUGCUGGAACUGGCAAGUCAGUUCACCUGAUGUUAGAGACCAUUUCAGUUUUCAUGCACCUGACUCAACCCCAGGCUAGAAGUGGAGAGCCACAGCAAUGACCAAUUUCAAGAGGGCAUUAACCCUCAGCAGUACCAGCAUCUUUGACUGCCAGUAUCUCCUGUCCCAUGGAAACCUCAAAAUUCCAUCAUCUCAGCUAGCUCCUGUAAGUCCUUCUCCUCUCGUUAUCGAUCCUGUGGGUUGUCCCCAUCAAACGUCCCCCUUCCUUCACCAUUCUGCAUACCUCCAUCUGCUUACCUCUGUUCAGGAGCACCAUAACUACCUCUUUGCGAACACGCAGGACCUCACUCCCUGCCACUUUAUGACGUUGUUGAAUUCACUUGCGCAAAAAAAUACAAAGAUGUGUAAAUCCGGGUUUACUUUGCACACACAUGCCUGCUGCAGAGUGACUCAAGACAGCAUACAGUUAAUGUAGCAUGCAAAUUUGAGUACAUGUUUAUUAAAUAAAUUAAUGGGCGAGAGGGCAAAAGGUACCCUAUUUAUUAUGUUUCACACUAGCAAGUUUUAAGUUAAAUACUUUGUUAAAUCAAAAAUUGAAAACCUUAAGACAAUAGAAUAGGAUGGAGGCUGGGAGAUAGUUCAGCUGAUAA